GUCCAAUCCCGGACUCACCGAACCUGCAAGUACGUUUGUUAUAAGACACACUCAGAUUAAAACCUGGAAAUCUUUGCAUGCAGCAAUGAAAAUUCGUGUCACUCAUUUGUUCCUUGGAAUAGCACCGAAAAUCCAUAUACAAUCCUUAUGCAUACAUACUAUACAAUACUGCACACGUCUUCGAACAACUCUUUACAUCAUAUUUACAUGUUUAUAAUUUUUAAUUAUAACAGUUAUCGUAAAAAUAAAAAUCAUAACAAUAAUACUCGAUAUAAAAUAUUAUAAUUAAAUAAUUAUGCUUAAAAUCUUAAUACCAAUAACAAUAAUGUAACGCGAUAAUGGAAAAUAAAUUUUGCUAAAGCAUAACCCUAAAGCCUGAUGAAAAAAUGUAAUAACACCGUAUACGGUUUAUGAAACAUCCUAUAAACUGAUAUAGAAUAAUAACCAAUAGAAAUAAUAAUUCACAGAAAUUAACAGAUAUAACUGCAGGGUUCCCAAUAGAAUACGGCACCCGGCCAUUUUCGCCGUCUAUAGCCUAGACAAUCACCAGUUAUUUCUCGAAAUUAUAAACCAAAAGUAUUUCCUUCCUUCCUUCCGCAAAAAUGUCAAGGGAACGGUUUCUUGCUUUUCUAACAUAAAUUUGACACAAUAGUCUUUGUUAAAUGUUUGAAUAAAAUGACAAAACCGCCAAAAUCAAACUCUCCAAAAUGGCUGGAAAUGCGACAUUUCAGAGGAUUUCAAUUUCUGAAUCUUCACCGAGAGACGCCUUUGGACCCCCACGACAAGUGGUACCUUUGCCACCAUGCAUAUAGCCGGCUGCAUCUUCAAAAUGCCUCCUGCUCAAAAUUUUAUUGGGAACCCUGAUAUAAGUGCUUUAAUAUUGAUAUUUUAACACCGUUGCGAGUUAGACUGACAAAAGAGGUCUUGAAUGGUGCAUGUAGGAUGUCUACGCCAUGCAGGACGACCUCCAACACAUAUUCCUUCAAACCAGAAACUGCAUGUAAAGCGAAUUUUGUUAAGUAUUAUCAAUCGAUUGAAUUUAGUACACAGCUAAACGGAUUUAUGAUUGAGAAGAGUUAAUUCUCCUGCAUGAGCUGUGUUCGCAAAACGUUCGCUGAGAUGUAUAGGCGUUAUACCAAAACGUAAAAAUCUGUGGUUUAUGAUUAUUAAUUUCUUUUCUGAAAUAUUAUGAAUUUUAUUUUAUUUUAUUGAAUAACCGUCGUCACGUGUUGUCGUUCUACAUCGCAUGCAUGCAAGGGUCUCUAAAGCCUGGGGAUGUUUAUAUGAGGGGAUGUUUAUAUAAGGGGAUGUUUAUAUGAGGUGCGCAGUCUGGCUGGUUGUUCAAAAUCCAGUUAGCUUAAUCUUAGGUUAACGAAAUACCUCAAAGCAAUCGUCCUAUAACGGUUUCUUUAUAAACGUGGAGUAUUUUCCAAAAAUCAUGUCUACAUUAAUAGAAGUACUCUUUUCUAACGUUUUGAAAUCAACGGAUUUGAAGAUGUAUACCCAGACCAAAACAGCCGGUUAAAUUAUAACCCAGGGUUAUAGCGCUAAUCCAGCUUUGAACAACCUGGUCCCGGACAAACGAGGAUAAGAGGGAUGCAUGAGAGUUGGCAGUCUUGGAAUUGUUACAGGGGACAUUUCAAACUCUAGAUUAACAAAAUAAACGUUUGAUGAGUAUCCUUAUAUAUACUAUGUGUUGGGAAAGCAUUAAGAACAGCUAUAACCCACCAACUCUCAUGCAUGCGCUCUCAUUCUCGUUCGAUCCGGGCUUUCAAGGCUUCAACAAACCAAACUUGUUGAUGA
rnacentral:lncRNA from 1 species